rnacentral:rRNA from 1 species
UACGGAGGGUGCAAACGUUGCUCGGAAUCAUUGGGCGUAAAGCGCACGUAGGCGGUCGGCUAUGUCGGAUGUGAAAGCCUCGGGCUUAACCCGAGAAGGGCAUCCGAAACUGGCCGGCUUGAGUACGGAAGAGGGUCUCGGAAUUCCCGGUGUAGAGGUGAAAUUCGUAGAUAUCGGGAGGAACACCAGUGGCGAAGGCGGAGACCUGGGCCGAUACUGACGCUGAGGAGCGAAAGCAUGGGGAGCGAACAGG